GGGUGUAUGCCCCCUAAAGGUCUGUGGUAGACUACCACGUUGAUAGGCUGGAGGUGUAAGUGUAGUAAUACAUUCAGCUGACCAGUACUAAUUGACCGUGUGGCUUGACCCUUAUU
rnacentral:rRNA from 1 species